rnacentral:rRNA from 1 species
GACAGAGGGUGCAAACGUUGUUCGGAAUUACUGGGCGUAAAGCGUGUGUAGGCGGCUACGUAAGUCGGAUGUGAAAGCCCCGGGCUUAACCCGGGAAGUGCACUCGAAACUGCGUAGCUUGAGUAUCGGAGAGGUUGGUGGAAUUCUCGGUGUAGAGGUGAAAUUCGUAGAUAUCGAGAGGAACACCGGUGGCGAAGGCGGCCAACUGGACGAAUACUGACGCUGAGACACGAAAGCGUGGGGAGCAAACAGG